UUGCCCACUUUAAGGCUACAUUCUUUUAAGUGGCCAACACAGGGGGGUAUAUUAAAGAGCUCUCUAAAACUCUAAGCAAAAUGGAAGUUUUUGCUCUGAAUCCUGUCGUGAGCAAUACAA
ensembl:snoRNA